AUGCAUUACAACUCAAUAAUCGAACUUGCCUAUACAAAAAGAAUUCAGAGGAAGUAUGCGUUGACGUACUCAAUGGUUCAUUGCAAUUACGUAUCACUUGGACAAAGCCUUAUGCCAACAGGGCACAUCGACAAUUUCCUGAUCCCUUGCUUUUGUCGGAAGUUCUUCGAGGACCGUCAUCCCUCAAUCUCUGGAAGGCACCAUUUCUUCCCGAACAUUGGCGAGUAUAUUCUGAACUACCCAAAAGACGAUAAACUAAGAUCAAUUGCCACUUCGUUUUUGGGGGCAGCAUCAGCAAGUAGGAGUAAACGGCUAGAUUUGUCAAAUACGCUGUUCUUCCCCACAUGCCUCGACAACCAUUGGAUAGUGUUUGUUGUCAAUUUCAAGUGGAAACUUUUUGCUUUCUUGGAUUCUUUUUACGACAAGGACUCAUAUCUUCACAAGUCUACCAGAGAGAAAUUUAUCAAUAACUUCAUCAAGUUGUGGGAAAUCAUUUUCCAAACAGACCAGCAUAAUUUCAAGAUUUUCAAAAGGAUGUACCCUCACGUGCCAAAGCAGAAUAAUGGAAAUGAUUGUGGAGUGUUUGCAACAAAGAUAAUGGAGAUAUGGGACCCAACCUUGGAUCUGCGCAAGAUUUUCUCACAUGAAGACAUCCAACACAUAAGAAUUCAGUACAUGAACCAACUUUUCUUUUGGAAGAAAAACACUGCAGACAAGAGCCUUGUCACUGGUUUCAACUUACAGGGUAACUUCGUCAGCGAUCCUCCAUGA
rnacentral:rRNA from 1 species